CCAAAGUCCUGUAAACUGAAACCCUGAAGCAUGAAGCGAGUGUAGCAUGCUUGCAGGCACACACGCUCACACACACCCGUACAUGUGUGUGUGUGCAUGAAUGCACACGUGCACCUUUCGUACAAGCAACAAGUGAAAUAAAAUCCAGCUGGAAAGCCACGGACAUGAAGGCUGCAGUGUGUUGUGAAAUCACAUGGUCCAAAAGUCUCCAGAGUAAAACCAACAGCCAUUUCUGCAGGAUUUAUAAAUGUUUGGAACAGGGACAUUCUGAAGACCGAAUGCUGUACCUUGAUAUUCCACUGAUUUGGUCCUCAGUCUACUGAGGAACAAAACAGAACAAGACUGGUCUGUCUCAGUCCCAGACGUCGACCCAGUCCAGAGGAGAUCACUAUCUGCCUUCUGGCCAAGCCGUUGCAAGAGGCCAGGGGAGGGCUCUUGUUUUAGAUUGGUUUUAGACUGACGAGGUCUCCCAGCAUCAGGAACCUGAGCAGGUUGCUCAUGCUGGAUGUGGCAAGAGUGGAGACCCUCCGACUGGCAGAAAAGAGCCUAUUUUUAUGUCAUCCUGCCAGACAGCCACUCACGGGAUUAGACUGCAGUCCCGCAGGCCAACGCUUUGUCACGGUGCUGUUCAUGAGCUGUGGCUCCCUGGCCCCAGGGCCCACCCUUCAGAUGCAGCCCACGUGGGAGGAAAGCACCAGGACUCUG
ensembl:lncRNA